AGAAAAUUGAUCUUCCAUAGAGUAGAAGGUAUGAUAUCAUUAUUGAUGGUUUUAAAUGUUUAAAGUUCAUUAAUCAGUUUUUGAUAUUUAUAGCUUUUAAAACCUAACUGUUAAAAAAACUUGCAACUGUUUGUCAGUAAAUUAGAAAAAAAACCAUUUAAAUGUCCCCCUGUUAGAAGACAGGUUUGAUAUGAUAAGCACAUUUACUGCAAAAUAUUGAACAGAUAGUACAUAUUUUCUAAUAACACAUAAUUGUCCAAGUAAAUUUUUGAGGUAAUUGCAUACCUAAAAAUUUAGAUAAUUGUUGCCGCAACGUUUUCAGCAUUUGUCACAACAAUUAACAGAUCUGCCAAAAGUUGUGGAAACAUACCAUUUUGUUCACUUCUAUGUAAUAGGAUACUUAAGUGAAGAUCUAUUCAUUUUUUUUCUUUUUUCUACACACACAUUGUUAUAGAAUAUUAUUGAGUGUUAACCUAGUGUGUUUUAAGAAAAAUUAUGGAUGAUGCAUCAUUUCAGGAAUUUUAAGUAUACUGAAUUGUUCAUGAAUUUUGACAAACUUUUUUUGUAAGAUUUUUUGUGAAAUGGAUCACUGUUUCCCAGGUCUUAGUGAAAGCAAUUUUUUUUUAAAUGCAUGUUUCAAAAGGUAGGGUCUUAUCAAGGAACUAGAGUGUCCUGAUAGGGUAGGAGUUCUUUCAAUAUAAGAUAUCAGCACAUCAUUUUCCAUUCCGUCUCAAGACAUAUUGUAUAUUUAUCAUAGCUACUAAGAGACAAAAAUAAAGUCAUUAUAUAUAGUAAUGUGUUGUUGUUUGUUUUAGGUUAUUAUUU
rnacentral:lncRNA from 1 species